GGGAAAAGAGAGAAACAGCGUGAAUCAAUCAAAGAUAUCCUUGGAUAUUCGGUGGUUUCUGUUUUUCUAUUUGAGAAAAAAAUGGCCGUUUCCUUGCAUUACCCCCUCCCAAACACACAUCAAACGAGCAGCGGAAGAGUUUCGAAGAAAAAAAGGUGACAAGUGUGCGCGAAAGGGAAUUUGUUAAUUUUGUUUCAAAAUCCAGAGAGCGUGCGAAAAAUGCCUCACCAGCCCACGGAAGCCACUGACAGACAAAAGGAAAUGGAACCUGCUUCUCACAGCGCACUGGCUACUAGGAUGCAUGCUGCACGCACUGAAUGACAGUUAUUUCCAACGGAUCGUGAAGCGUUUAAACCGGUGGCCACCCGUCAAUCGUAACCAACGCAACGGAGGCAGAGACCUGCGACGUUUAAAGACCUGCGGGUCCGGCAGCACCGUACCCCCAACGGCUACUGUUCCGGCCAUUUCCACCGUUAGCGUCAGUCCACGGUCGAAAAUCUUACCCGCCCCACAAAUGUACGGCUAAGGGGAACGAACAUGGGAGAAAACGGAUAAAUCACGAAAUCCUAACUUAUUUCAGCAAUCGGUUCAUAUUAAAUUCGACAGAUUCGACACGACAAGGACGACGCAGAGCACUUAAAGGAUCGAUAUGAAUUAUUUACAAUUUUUGGAGAACUUUCUUUUCCGAAAGGCACGGGAUACGCGCAAGGAACGAAGGAAGCAAAAUGGAAGGAGACAUAAGUGUUGUUGUAAGGGUAGGAUGAAUCUCGGUAGAAAUGUCAAUCUUUGGUAGUGUAGCAUGUGUGUUUGAAUAGUCAAUUGAACUAACAAAACAAAAA